rnacentral:misc_RNA from 1 species
GCUUGUUCACAUGGUUGUGGAACUUGAAAAGGUUGCUGCAAUGGAGAACUCCAAUGGCAAUGUGUUUCAACUAAUUGUGAAACAAGGGAAUCCUACUCUGGUUGUUCCAGAAAAGAAGACAGAAAAAGGUCUCUAUUUUCUCUCUAAUCUUGAUCAGAACAUUGCAGUGAUUGUACGUACAGUCUACUGCUUCAAGUCAGAUGAAGAAGGGAAUGAAAAUGCUGCAGAAAUUAUCAAGAAUGCCUUGAGAAAGGUUCUUGUUCACUACUACCCUCUUGCAGGGAGGCUAACAAUAAGCUCCGAGGGAAAGCUUAUUAUAAAUUGCACCGGAGAGGGUGCUGUUU